rnacentral:rRNA from 1 species
GAUGAACGCUGGCGGCGUGCCUAAUACAUGCAAGUCGAGCGAACAGACGAGGAGCUUACUCCUCUGACGUUAGCGGCGGACGGGUGAGUAACACGUGGAUAACCUACCUAUAAGACUGGGAUAACUUCGGGAAGCCGGAGCUAAUACCGGAUAACAUGUUGAACCGCAUGGUUCAACAGUGAAAGACGGUCUUGCUGUCACUUAUAGAUGGAUCCGCGUCGCAUUAGCUAGUUGGUAAGGUAACGGCUUACCAAGGCAACGAUGCGUAGCCGACCUGAGAGGGUGAUCGGCCACACUGGAACUGAGACACGGUCCAGACUCCUACGGGAGGCAGCAGUAGGGAAUCUUCCGCAAUGGGCGAAAGCCUGACGGAGCAACGCCGCGUGAGUGAAGAAGGUCUUCGGAUCGUAAAACUCUGUUAUUAGGGAAGAACAAAUGUGUAAGUAACUAUGCACGUCUUGACGGUACCUAAUCAGAAAGCCACGGCUAACUACGUG